UACGGGCUACCCCUUCAAAGGAGAUCAUACCCAAAACCCCUCCGUGGCAGGGGAGCCAUAUCGUGAGAUGAAGCUGGUGAACGGAGGCUUCUGCUGCAUCAGAUUUGACGUACCGGUCUAACCACAAAGGAUCUGAGUGUGUGGAUGGACGAUUUUGGCGGUAUAAGGUUUGGGGGAAAGUGCCAGAAUGAGCCCAAGUAUGAGGAGGAGGGAAGGUUCUAUGGAGCCACCAUUCCACCAUGUCCUAUGGUCUUACAAAUGGACCAAGUCAAGGCUGAGUUGAAACAUGGUGUUCUCUGGGUUACUCUCCCACUUACCCAACUUGCCAAGGAGCCAAGAAUGUUCCAAAUGUUGCAGAAAAGGUGCGUGUGGCAGGUGCGAGAAGAAGCUAACUAACCGUCAAUUAGAUUGGAUCCUCCUCAGCUUCGCCACCUCCUCUUUGAGUAAAUCAUGUUAAUGGCCGAACUGCAGAUGUUUCACUAGUGGUCGCUCUGAGAAGUUCACACUGUGACUUGGGCGGCUGAAAUUACAAUCCUUCAUCGGACAGUAGACUCUCUUCCUGGUCACAUCCACCCGACC